rnacentral:rRNA from 1 species
ACUCCUACGGGAGGCAGCAGUGGGGAAUUUUGCGCAAUGGGGGAAACCCUGACGCAGCAACGCCGCGUGGAGGAUGAAAUCCCUUGGGAUGUAAACUCCUUCGAUGGGGAAGAUUAUGACG